rnacentral:rRNA from 1 species
UACGAAGGGGGCGAGCGUUGUUCGGAAUUACUGGGCGUAAAGAGCGUGUAGGCGGCCCGGUAAGUCCGCUGUAAAAGUCAAAGGCUCAACCUUUGAAUGUCAGUGGAUACUGCCGGGCUAGAGUCCGGAAGAGGCGAGUGGAACUCCUGGUGUAGCGGUGGAAUGCGCAGAUAUCAGGAAGAACACCAACGGCGAAGGCAGCUCGCUGGGACGGUACUGACGCUGAGACGCGAAAGCGUGGGGAGCGAACAGG